rfam:Moellerella wisconsensis ATCC 35017 Sequence00007, whole genome shotgun sequence.
GGAAGUACGACAUUGCUCACAUUGCUUCCAGUGUUUAGUUUAGCCAGCCUUCGUGCUGGCUUUUUUUU